rnacentral:rRNA from 1 species
AGUGAACGCUGGCGGCGUGCCUAAUACAUGCAAGUCGAACGAUGAAGUCCUAGCUUGCUAGGAUGGAUUAGUGGCGCACGGGUGAGUAAUAUAUAGUUAAUCUGCCCUACACAGAGGAACAACAGUUGGAAACGACUGCUAAUACCUCAUACUCCUAUUUGACAUAAGUUAAAUAGGGAAAGUCUUUUCGGUGUAGGAUGAGACUAUAUCGUAUCAGCUAGUUGGUAAGGUAAUGGCUUACCAAGGCUAUGACGCGUAACUGGUCUGAGAGGAUGAUCAGUCAAUUGGGAAAUGAACCACGAACAAAACCCCUCGGGGGGCAGGAAGGAGGCAAUAUGGGGAAAGGGGGAAAACCCGAACCCACCACCGACGGGGGAAGAAGAACAUUUUGCGGAGUUAAAACUCUUUUUAUCAAAAAAAAAAAAGGCCGGUCCCUAAUAAAAAGCCCCCGACAAACCCCUGG